rnacentral:rRNA from 1 species
GAUGAACGCUAGCGGCAGGCCUAACACAUGCAAGUCGAACGGGAUCCAGAUCAAGGCUUGCUUUGGUCUGGUGAGAGUGGCGCACGGGUGGGUAACGCGUGAGCAACCUACCCUUGUCAGGGGGAUAGCUCGGCGAAAGUCGGAUUAAUACCGCAUGACAUCAUUGAGAGGCCUCUUUCGAUGAUCAAAGAUUUAUCGGGAAGUGACGGGCUCGCGUGACAUUGGCUAGUUGGUAAGGUAACGGCUUACCCAGGCUGCGAUGUCUAGGCGCUCUGAGAGGAGAGUCCCCCACAUUGGUACUGAGACACGGACCAGACGACUACGGCAGGCAGCAGAAAGGAACAUGGGGCAACGGACGGAAGUCUGAACCAGCCAUGCCGAGUGCAGGAAGACCGCGCUAUGGGAUGUAUACUGCUUUUAUACGGGAACAAACGUCGGUACGUGUACCGGACUGAGGGUACCGUAAGAAUAAGGACCGGCUAACUCCGUG